rnacentral:rRNA from 1 species
UACGGAGGGUGCAAGCGUUGUCCGGAAUCACUGGGCGUAAAGGGCGCGUAGGCGGCUCAUGAAGGCUGUGGUGAAAGUCCGGGGCUCAACCUCGGAUCGGCCGUGGCGACUCGUGGGCUGGAGCACUGUAGAGGCGGGUGGAAUUCCGGGUGUAGCGGUGGAAUGCGUAGAGAUCCGGAAGAACACCAGUGGCGAAGGCGAUCAUCUGGGGUUGUUCUGACACUGAGGAGCGAAAGCUAGGGGAGCAAACAGG